UGUAGAAGAAGGCGCUCUGUUGAGAUGAGACCAAAACGCAACUUUUUGGCCAGAAUGCAAAAUCUUACGAGUGAAGAAAAUCCAGAGGCAGUCAAAAUCCAGUUAUGACUCGGAAAACUGAUUUCUACAGCGCUCUCCAGUGUAGGUGAGCUUCAGCACGGCUGGCUAAGAGGUGCAGCAGAGGUGAAUCGCUCUUAUCCGAAAUCCCGGCGCAGGACACAAAGAGGAUAUUGAAAGAAUCCGACCCUCAGGCUUGUGCCGGCCUGAUCCGUGCGGUGCG